GAUUUGCCUGACCUGUCAUGUGGUAGAGCUUGGCAAGGAGCAUAAGGAGCCUACUGCACUGGCUGGCGUGUGUUACUGUGGACUGGCUAGUGAAGAGCUGCCAGUAUUCCAUAUGGAUAGAACUUGAUGAUCGAAUGUUCUUCCCUCUGGACAGAAGAAAAACAAGACAGGACAUUUUGGAACACUCACAUCUCACGAAUACAAAUCACUAGGAAGAGCUGAGUUCAGUAUGAG
ensembl:lncRNA